UUGCAUGACACACACGUGUUCGGACUUCACUCUCCAUCAUCUCUCGAAUCACUUCUCCCAUUUCUUCUUCGAAAUGCUUCUUCCCACCCUCCCCAUCUUCUCGUUGCCUAUCUCCGUUUCUCUCGGCCAACGCAUUCGGUAAGCAACUAGCAAUGGGUUUUAAUUUAGAGCCAACUAACAAUGGGUUUUAAUUUGUUGUAUGGGUGUUCUUCUGUGGGGUGUUUCCCAACUCCUUCAGAAUCGGAAACAACUUUGGGUUUUCUCUCUCUCUCUACAAGUCUUCACCGUGGCUUCAACUAAUGGGAGAAAGGUGAAACCGUUGCAUGUCUGUAAGGAUUGAUGUUUUUGUUUUAGGUUCCAACAGUUCCAUUGGUUGUUCAGCUCCAUUCAUGAUUGCUGAGCUUUCCAAUCUGGUUUAAAUUUAGAGCCAACUAACAAUGGGUUUUAAUUUGUUCCAGGGGUGUUCUUCUGUGGGGUGUUUCCCAACUCCUUCAGCAUUGGAAUCAACUUUGUGAUCUCUCUCUGUCUCCCCCCCCCCUCCCCUCUACAAGUCUUCACUGUGGCUUCACCUAAUGAGAGAAAGGUGAAACCGUUGCAUGUCUGUAAUGAUUGAUAUGGAAAGGGUAGCCUGGAUGUUAUUCGUGCAUUCAACUGAUGUGGGCAUGCAAAUGGAAUUGAAGUGGAUGACGUUAGGAAGAUGUGCUUUGUUGCAAGUUGAAGGGGCUAGAAAGGGCUAUCUACGUUGCUUGGCUUCAUUGGAACUCCUCAAUGGAGUUAUGAAUUCAAGUUCGAUCAGAAUUUUUAAGUUUGUUCUUUCAUGUUGAGCUAUGGUUGUAUCAUAAAGGUUAUCUACAUUGCUUGGUUCCAUUGGAACACCUUAAUUGAGUUAUGAAUUCAAUCUAAGGUUGGAUGGUCUUGAUCAAUAUUCAACCAUAUUUUCUCUUGAGCGAUAGUGAGGGACUUCUGGUUGAUUUGGCAAGAAAGAAACUCAAGGAUGUUCCAAAACAAAAGAUGUCAAGAGGAUGAAGUGUGGCAGAGAAUUGUGGAGUAACCGUACUCUUGGUCUGUGGUACAAUUGAAUAUUGAUAGUUCCUUUUAUAGGUCCCUUUUUUAUUUUGCAAGCCUGUUUGUAAUGGGAUGGUGGUCUGAAUGUUUUAUUUUUAUUUUUUUUGCAUUCUCCUUUGUUGUACAUUUCAAUCUUUUUCUUUGAAUGAAUGGAUACUUUACUUCUUCAUCGACA